UUCGAUGAUGAUGCACGAGUUAAUCCAUUCUCUGAGUCUCUGUGUGUGUGUCUGUGUGUUCGUAUGUGAGCAACCGCAUUGCUGAACGGCGG
rnacentral:snoRNA from 1 species